rnacentral:rRNA from 1 species
AGAGUUUGAUCAUGGCUCAGAUUGAACGCUGGCGGCAGGCCUAACACAUGCAAGUCGAGCGGUAGCACAAGAGAGCUUGCUCUCUGGGUGACGAGCGGCGGACGGGUGAGUAAUGUCUGGGAAACUGCCUGAUGGAGGGGGAUAACUACUGGAAACGGUAGCUAAUACCGCAUGACGUCUUCGGACCAAAGUGGGGGACCUUCGGGCCUCACGCCAUCAGAUGUGCCCAGAUGGGAUUAGCUAGUAGGUGGGGUAAUGGCUCACCUAGGCGACGAUCUCUAGCUGGUCUGAGAGGAUGACCAGCCACACUGGAACUGAGACACGGUCCAGACUCCUACGGGAGGCAGCAGUGGGGAAUAUUGCACAAUGGGCGCAAGCCUGAUGCAGCCAUGCCGCGUGUAUGAAGAAGGCCUUCGGGUUGUAAAGUACUUUCAGCGAGGAGGAAGGCAUUAAGGUUAAUAACCUUGGUGAUUGACGUUACUCGCAGAAGAAGCACCGGCUAACUCCGUGCCAGCAGCCGCGGUAAUACGGAGGGUGCAAGCGUUAAUCGGAAUUACUGGGCGUAAAGCGCACGCAGGCGGUUGAUUAAGUCAGAUGUGAAAUCCCCGAGCUUAACUUGGGAACUGCAUUUGAAACUGGCAAGCUAGAGUCUUGUAGAGGGGGUAGAAUUCCAGGUGUAGCGGUGAAAUGCGUAGAGAUCUGGAGGAAUACCGGUGGCGAAGGCGGCCCCCUGGACAAAGACUGACGCUCAGGUGCGAAAGCGUGGGGAGCAAACAGGAUUAGAUACCCUGGUAGUCCACGCUGUAAACGAUGUCGACUUGGAGGUUGUGCCCUUGAGGCGUGGCUUCCGGAGCUAACGCGUUAAGUCGACCGCCUGGGGAGUACGGCCGCAAGGUUAAAACUCAAAUGAAUUGACGGGGGCCCGCACAAGCGGUGGAGCAUGUGGUUUAAUUCGAUGCAACGCGAAGAACCUUACCUACUCUUGACAUCCAGAGAAUUUGCUAGAGAUAGCUUAGUGCCUUCGGGAACUCUGAGACAGGUGCUGCAUGGCUGUCGUCAGCUCGUGUUGUGAAAUGUUGGGUUAAGUCCCGCAACGAGCGCAACCCUUAUCCUUUGUUGCCAGCGAAUAAUGUCGGGAACUCAAAGGAGACUGCCGGUGAUAAACCGGAGGAAGGUGGGGAUGACGUCAAGUCAUCAUGGCCCUUACGAGUAGGGCUACACACGUGCUACAAUGGCAUAUACAAAGAGAAGCGAACUCGCGAGAGCAAGCGGACCUCAUAAAGUAUGUCGUAGUCCGGAUUGGAGUCUGCAACUCGACUCCAUGAAGUCGGAAUCGCUAGUAAUCGUAGAUCAGAAUGCUACGGUGAAUACGUUCCCGGGCCUUGUACACACCGCCCGUCACACCAUGGGAGUGGGUUGCAAAAGAAGUAGGUAGCUUAACCUUCGGGAGGGCGCUUACCACUUUGUGAUUCAUGACUGGGGUGAAGUCGUAACAAGGUAACCGUAGGGGAACCUGCGGUUGGAUCACCU